UCUUAUCCGUUGGGGUGCCCGCAAAGGCUGAGAAGUGUUGAUAACACUAACCCAUCGAACCUGAUACGGGUAAUACCGGCGAAGGGAACGGGUAGUCUGCUGUU
rnacentral:ncRNA from 2 species